ACUGUUAAGAAACAGUGAUGCACUUCUGAAUUGGAAUGCUGCUGUCGAGGUCCUUUUGUCGGUUCUGGUCCAUCUGGCUUUAGUAUGCUUUCUGACUAAGGUUCGGAUGUAGAAAUUAAUGAUUAUUCUCCUUGGCAAGUUCUGGACGCCAUGAAAUGCUUGGCUUUUGCACCAUUUCUAUUCCCAGUGAACUCUUGCCUAAGGAACUUUGUCUAUGAGUAUUCUGUGUAUACUAUGUCGUGUGAUUCUCAAUUCAGUCCUUGGUUGUGUAUUAAGGCCUUUAUGUUGGGUCUCGACAUCAUUUUGGGUGCUAUCUAAGCAAAUGUUUGUAUUUUUGUGCAAGCUAUGGCUGUUUUAUUGGUAUUUUAAGUGUUCCCCAUAAGCAGGGUUUUUUUAGAUUAUUAUGGAAAUGACAU
rnacentral:lncRNA from 1 species